rnacentral:lncRNA from 1 species
CCAGAGUUGAGGUUUUCCUCUAAGGAAUCCGACGAGAUCACGAGAUUCGUGAUAGAGGAUUACUUUGCGGCCCGUGACCAUUUGUGAUGGACUAGUUGGAGCACCCCUGCAGGGUUUAAUCUUUUGGAAAGCCGUGCCCGCGGUUAUGUGGCAACUUGGAAUAUUUGUUAACAUCCGAUUAUAGAUAACUUGAACCUAAUCUAAUAAAAUUGCCAACUGUGUGCGUAACCGUGACUGUCCCCUUCGAAGACCUCUCUUUGAUCGGGAAUACGGUGGGGUUAUGAUUGACAUAAGUAGGUGUUCAGGAUCACUUAGUGAUCAGCUAGUCAGCGACCGCUAGUAUAGACCAACUUCAAUACUUGUUCUACGUCAGUUAGCCACCAUAUAUGCUUAGGAUGCUGCAACCUAAACACUGAACCUUCCUUACCUAAUAACUUGACUAGUUCUGGCACCGAGGUCAUAGAUUGCUGAGUUCCCGUGGCUCAAAGAUUACUUCAACACACCAACAAGUACAGGUACGCCCGACACAGGUGAUCCCGAUGGCAUGCAGCUGGCGUGGCAGUACGAUGAGGAGAACGACCGUCUAUACGUGAACUAUCCAGAAGACUGAGGCGUGGUCGUGAUCAUGGGCAAGCAUGCAGGGUAGUAUAGCAUUUUCUCAUGUUAUGUAGUCCGUAGCGGAACUACCUUGUUUGAAUAAAUGCGUGAUGUAAACCCUGAUAUUAUUAUGAGAUGGCAGAUGAACCCCUAUUUGUCAUUCUAUUAUUAUGUAUGUGCUAUGUUAUCGUGCCUGCGAAACACUUAUAUGUGCUUCUUUCCUUUUGGGGCCUCGUUCCCUAAAUCGGAAAGGACCGCAUCUUAGUCGUUACAAUAUGUGCCUAGAUCUUUCCUC